CGCACAGUUACAUAUAAGUUUUUAGUAGUUAGAUAAAAUGCAUUUCAAGGUCUUAAUUUUGUUACUAAAUUGUUUAAUAUUUGCUGAAUCCGUUGUCGUGAGCGAGGAAAUGUUACGCGACUUAUACAAUGACCUUGUAAGAAUGGAGAACACAAAUAUAAAAGACGUUAUAAGUUAUGAGCAGUUUAAGUCGAUUGUCGUAGAGUCUGUCGAAGUGGAUGGUGACAUCGAAGAGGAUGCCGACUCAUCCUAUGAUCUCCAAAUAAACAAUCCAUUUGGUCCAUAAAUAUUAACGGUUUGUUAUAAUUUCAACC